ACACCACCCCUGGUGUCGAGCGACACCAAUACCUGACGGCACUUCAAAGACGAAACUUAUUGAUAUUUUGA
rnacentral:sRNA from 1 species